AUGAAGAUGGCGACUUGCAUUCGUAAGGUGGCCUCGGAGGAGUUUGGAGUGCCCAGGGGAAGGAGAAGCGAAGAUAAGGAUACCUGGUGGUGGAAUGAUGAUGUCCAGAAGGCGCUUAAAGAGAAGAAAGAUUGCUUCAGACGCCUAUACCUGGAUAGGAGUGCAGACAACAUAGAGAAGUACAAGAUGGCGAAGAAGGCCGCAAAGCGAGCUGUUGGUGAGGCAAGGGGUCGGGCAUAUGAGGACCUCUACCAACGGUUAGGCACGAAGGAAGGUGAAAGGGACAUCUAUAAGAUGGCUAAGAUCCGGGAGAGGAAGACGAGGGAUAUUGGCCAAGUCAAAUGCAUCAAGGACGGAGCAGGCCAACUCUUGGUGAAGGACGAAGAGAUUAAGCAUAGAUGGCAGGAGUACUUCGACAAGCUGUUCAAUGGGGAGAAUGAGAGUUCUACCAUUGAACUGAAUGACUCCUUUGAUGAGACCAGCAUGCGUUUUGUGCGGCGCAUCCAGGAGUCUGAGGUGAAGGAGGCUUUAAAAAGGAUGAAAGGAGGCAAGGCGAUGGGCCCUGAUUGUAUCCCCAUUGAGGUGUGGAAAGGUCUCGGGGACAUAGCGAUAGUAUGGCUAACCAAGCUUUUCAACCUCAUUUUUCGGGCAAACAAGAUGCCAGAAGAAUGGAGACAGAGUAUAUUAGUACCAAUCUUCAAGAACAAGGGGGAUGUUCAGAGUUGUACUAAUUACCGUGGAAUUAAGCUGAUGAGCCAUACAAUGAAGCUAUGGGAGAGAGUCAUUGAGCAUCGCUUAAGAAGAAUGACAAGCGUGACCAAAAAUCAGUUUGGUUUCAUGUACAAUAAUGUUGUGACAAGUGUUCGAACAAGUGAUGUCGACACUGAUGACUUCCCGAUUAAGAUAGGACUGCACCAGGGGUCAGCUUUGAGCCCUUAUCUUUUUGCAUUGGUGAUGGAUGAGGUCACAAGGGGUAUACAAGGAGAUAUCCCAUGGUGUAUGCUCUUUGCGGAUGAUGUGGUGCUAGUUGACGAUAGUCGGAUGGGGGUAAAUAGGAAGUUAGAGUUAUGGAGACAAACCUUGGAAUCGAAAGGGUUUAGGCUUAGUAGAACUAAAACCGAGUACAUGAUGUGCGGUUUCAGUACUACUAGCUGUGAGGAGGAGGAGGUUAGCCUUGAUGGCCAGGUGGUACCUCGGAAGGACACCUUUCGGUAUUUGGGGUCAAUGUUGCAGGAGGAUGGGGGUAUUGAUGAAGAUGUGAACCAUCGAAUCAAAGCCGGAUGGAUGAAGUGGUGCCAAGCUUCUGGCAUUCUCUGUGACAAGAGAGUGCCACAAAAGCUAAAAGGCAAGUUCUACAGGACGGCGGUUCGACCCGCAAUGUUGUAUGGCGCGGAGUGUUGGCCGACUAAAAGGCGACAUGUUCAACAGUUAGGUGUGGCGGAGAUGCGUAUGUUGAGAUGGAUGUGUGGCCACACGAGGAAGGAUCGAGUCCGGAAUGAUGAUAUACGAGAUAGAGUUGGGGUAGCACCAAUUGAGGAGAAGCUUGUCCAACAUCGUUUGAGAUGGUUUGGGCAUAUUCAGCGCAGGCCUCCAGAAGCCCCAGUGCAUAGCGGACGGCUAAAGCGUGCGGAGAAUGUCAAGAGAGGGCGGGGUCGACUGAUUUUGACAUGGGAGGAGUCCGUUAAGAGAGACCUGAAGGAUUGGAGUAUCGACAAAGAGCUAGCUAUGGACAGGGGUGCGUGGAAGCUUGCUAUCCAUGUGCCAGAGCCAUGA
rnacentral:rRNA from 1 species